rnacentral:sRNA from 12 species
CCGAGUGAGGUGCCCAUGCGCCGUAGGCGCAUAUUAAAAUGGCACCGACGAACUGCCGCCGAACGGAAGUGAGGGGACGAUACCAUAA